rnacentral:misc_RNA from 1 species
GCGAUAAUUAAUUUUUUGAAUGUGAAUUUAGAAAAAUCGAAAGAGUCCUCUUCCUCGCGGAAACCAUUAUAUGAAUCUGAAGAGUGGCGCGUAACUCAUAAAAAUAGAAACAUACAGCGAAUAAACCUUUACCUUUAUAGCUCUAAUUAUCGAAGAAUUCUUUCACGGAUAUACAAGAGUAGAGUCUUUAAAAUCACGAAAAUAUACGAGCGUGAGAAGAAAACACAUCGCGCGAAACUCUCAAAGCCGCUCUAAAUCCGAGAAAGUCAACCUCCUUUCGCGUUGGUGUUUCGACAAUUCUGGGCGAACCAGAAUGCGGGCGGUGCCGUGUGUGCUUCGUUAAACUGACAGUAAUCGUCAACCGCGUGUCACAAACUCGUACGUGCUAAAGCGAAUGUUCGCAAAUUAGAUUCCGGCGAUGCACUUACGAUGACGUCGUUUCGUGAUUUGAGCACUCGAGCAUCAAUGCACAUGUGAAAAUUGGACUCGUCUUUCACAAGCACGAUAUUGCAUUACGACAGGAAGAAAAUCGCGAUAAAUAAAAAUUGGAUAAAAUCAUUUCUCCAAAAAGAUAGUUCCCGCACAUAUUGCAUGGAAAGAAAAUCAGAAGAACAAUUAUUGCUCAUCCAUGUAAUAGUAUGAUGGUCGUUAUUAAAGCAUUUGGGCAUUGAUAGGUUUGUCGAUUCGUUUGAAUAUUCUACGAGAGGAGUAUCGAUAUAGAAAGAUAUCCUUGCAAAAGAGCGUUAUCGAGGACUUGUCUGGAAAGAACAUUCGAUCGAGAAGUUUGCGCGCGUGGUCGCGUUCGCGAAGAGUUAUCACUGGAAAAAAACGAUAAUCGACCGAUAGUCGACGAUUGUCGCCGCGGGGCAAAUGGCAAACCUUAUCGGAGUCAUGUGAUAUAUCGCGCGACGAGACGAACGAGUGGCACGAUUGGCUAUGAGAGAAUGACGGUGACGUGUAUGUCGUUUACGGAUGUUGUUCAGUGCCGGGAUGCUGUAGUGAGUAACUGUCAGUAAAAGCGACGCGAGUGCGGCACAACGAGAUCGUUUUCGUCGUCAUCGUCGUCGUCGUUAUUCGCCGGAGAGAGUGAGAACAGAGGCCGACAUCACUCGGAGAAACAUCCAGCAUGAAGGAUCAUCGAGAAGGAUGGCUGCGCGCCGUGCUGCUGAUAACGUUUCUCUCGCAUCAGACGGAAUGCGCGGCCAAGAACGGGAGAGCGGUGGUGGAGCACCAUCCGUCCUCUUACUGGGAGCAACCCUUUAGUCAACCUUACUUCGACAACACGACAAAGAGGGAGACCACAACCACCGUCGGGCAAUCCGCUUACCUACACUGUAGGGUGCGCAAUCUUGGCGAUCGCGCGGUCUCAUGGAUCAGGCAGCGGGAUUUACAUAUCCUUACUGUCGGCAUUCUAACGUACACAAACGACCAACGUUUUCAAUCGUUACAUAGCGAUGGUAGCGACGAGUGGACUCUGAAGAUCAGUUCGCCGCAAGUGCGAGAUAGCGGGAUCUAUGAGUGUCAAGUUUCGACAGAGCCCAAGAUUAGUCAAGCUUUUAACUUGAGCGUAGUAGUCUCGAAGGCAAAGAUCAACGGCAAUUCAGAGCUCUACAUCAAAAGCGGGAGCGACAUCAAUCUGACCUGCAUCGUACUGCAAACGCCGGAACCACCAUCCUUCAUCUAUUGGUACAAGGGCGACAAUGUGAUAAAUUACAGUCAACGCGGAGGCAUUAGUGUCGUGACCGAGAAACAAACACGAACGUCACGUCUUCUGAUCAGCAAAGCGUUGCCAGCCGAUUCCGGCAAUUACACCUGUGCGCCAUCCACAGCCGAGUCAGCCAGCGUCCUCGUCCACGUGCUCAAUGGGGAGCAUCCGGCGGCCAUGCAACACGGGAACUCCAGCAACAGCGGCGCGGCCACGAGGACACUCGCGUUACUCCUGUUGCUCCUGCACGCUGGCUCCUUCGCGAGGUGACUGGUCGAUCACGAGGCGCUGCAGUAAGAGAGUACGGCCGAUAUAGUUUCACCCAGGCGAGAUUGAGGGAACGACUACGAGGGUGGUGUGAGUAAUGACGGACAUAUUGAUGCAUUCAUCUUACUACAACUGCACUACUACGCAUCGAAAUAUCGAACGAACCUCUAUCCUAGUUAUCUCUCCUGAAUCUCUCAGAAAUCUCAUAACAGCAAUUUCCGAAACACAAGCAUAAGAAGAAGAUGAAAACAAGACCCUGACGAAAACAGGAACCAGCCUAUGUCUUAACCGCUGCGCAGACCGACUUCGUACACCAUAG